GUUUUCUCUCUUUAGCAGUACAUAUACUAAAAUUGGAACAAUAUAGAGAAGAUUAGCAUGGCCCCUGAGCAAGGAUGACACAUAAAUUGAAUCAUUAAACCCAAAAGGA